UACAGAGGACACAAGCGUUAUCCGGAGUUACUGGGCGUAAAGGGCGUGUAGGCGGUUUGUUAAGUCUGGCGUGAAAGCUCUCGGCUAAACCGGGAGAGGUCGUUGGAUACUGGCAAACUGGAGGAUGGUAGAGGCGUGUGGAAUUCCGGGAGUAGUGGUGAAAUGCGUAGAGAUCCGGAGGAACACCAGUGGCGAAGGCGACACGCUGGGCCAUACCUGACGCUAAAGCGCGACAGCAUGGGGAGCAAACGGG
rnacentral:rRNA from 1 species